rnacentral:rRNA from 1 species
GACGGAGGAUGCAAGUGUUAUCCGGAAUCACUGGGCGUAAAGCGUCUGUAGGUGGUUUAAUAAGUCAACUGUUAAAUCUUGAGGCUCAACCUCAAAAAUCGCAGUCGAAACUAUUAGGCUAGAGUAUAGUAGGGGUAAAGGGAAUUUCCGGUGGAGCGGUGAAAUGCGUAGAGAUCGGAAAGAACACCAACGGCGAAAGCACUCUGCUGGGCCGACACUGACACUGAGAGACGAAAGCUAGGGGGAGCGAAUGGGG